UACGUAGGGUGCGAGCGUUGUCCGGAAUUAUUGGGCGUAAAGAGCUCGUAGGCGGUGUGUCACGUCGGCCGUGAAAACCUGGGGCUUAACUCUGGGCGUGCGGUCGAUACGGGCAUCACUAGAGUUCGGCAGGGGAGACUGGAAUUCCUGGUGUAGCGGUGAAAUGCGCAGAUAUCAGGAGGAACACCGGUGGCGAAGGCGGAUCUCUGGGCCUUACCUGACGCUCAGGUGCGAAAGCUAGGGGAGCGAACAGG
rnacentral:rRNA from 1 species